AAAUAGAACUUGGCAGAGAGAGUUAACAGGGCGUGAAACCGUUAAUUGGCAAACGAAUCGGAGCCACGAAGUCGUUUCGUUGUAGUCGGGCCCAGCUCAGCUCAAGAGGACCCCCUCUUGGGUGUAUUCUGGGUCUGGCCACUUUGUAAGCGUACACUGCAACUAGUUAGACGAUUGGCGAUGGGCCCAGUUGCGGAGGCUUGCUUCGGCUUGCCCUCGUAGCGAUCGGCUUGUCUACUGGAGUUAGUAGUAACGAGGCGGGAUUUAUUCUGUCUUGUUGCUGGGCUUCAGUGGGUGAACUAUCACCAAAGACUGACUAGCAAAAUGAAAAUCGCCUCGCGGCGUUUCCUUAGAAAGCGGCGCUUGCAUUGGUGUUUACACAUUUGACCGUGGGGUUUAAGCUCAGCAUUCUUGAAUUUGGACUUGCUGGCUACCAGUGGGGCAACUCCUGGUGCCAGUAUAGCUUCCAUCUAAUCGGGUGUUGACUUGAUUCUACGUCGUUCAGGUGUGCUACGAUAGAGCGUCAAUGUAAUGCGACUCGCAAUCUUAUUGGCAGUGAGUAGGUCGGCUUUCCGAACGACCC
rnacentral:rRNA from 1 species